AACAAACGCUGGCGGCGUGCCUAACACAUGCAAGUCGUACGAGAAAGGGUCCUUCGGGGCCUGAGUAAAGUGGCGCACGGGUGAGUAACGCGUGGAUAAUCUGCCCUUCAGUUGGGAAUAACUCAUCGAAAGGUGGGCUAAUACCGAAUAAUGCUGUGAGACCUCGGUUGAUCAGCCAACGAGAGCCUCUGCUUGCAAGCCCUCGCUGAAGGUUGAGUCCGCGUACCAUUAGCUAUUUGGUAGGGUAAUGGCCUACCAAGGCGACGAUGGUUAGCUGGUCUGAGAGGAUGAUCAGCCACACUGGAACUGAGACACGGUCCAGACUCCUACGGGAGGCAGCAGUGAGGAAUCUUGCGCAAUGGGGGCAACCCUGCAACAGCAACGCCGCGUGAGUGAGGAAGGUCUUCGGAUCGUAAAGCUCUGUAAGAUGGAAAGAACCGCAUAGAGGGAAACAGCCCCUGUGUCUGACGGUACCAUCAAAGGAAGCACCGGUUAACUCCGUGCCAGCCGCCGCCGUAAGAC
rnacentral:rRNA from 1 species